GAUGAACGCUGGCGGCGUGCCUAAUACAUGCAAGUCGAGCGAACAGACGAGGAGCUUGCUCCUCUGACGUUAGCGGCGGACGGGUGAGUAACACGUGGAUAACCUACCUAUAAGACUGGGAUAACUUCGGGAAACCGGAGCUAAUACCGGAUAAUAUAUUGAACCGCAUGGUUCAAUAGUGAAAGACGGUUUUGCUGUCACUUCUAGAUGGAUCCGCGCCGCAUUAGCUAGUUGGUAAGGUAACGGCUUACCAGGGCAACGAUGCGUAGCCGACCUGAGAGGGGGAUCGGCCACACUGGAACUGGAACACGGUCCAGACUCCUACGGGAGGCAGCAGUAGGGAAUCUUCCGCAAUGGGCGAAAGCUUGACGGAGCAACGCCGCGUGAGUGAUGAAGGUCUUCGGAUCGUAAAACUCUGUUAUUAGGGAAGAACAAAUGUGUAAGUAACUAUGCACGUCUUGACGGUACCUAAUCAGAAAGCCACGGCUAACUACGUG
rnacentral:rRNA from 1 species